UACGUAGGGUGCGAGCGUUAAUCGGAAUUACUGGGCGUAAAGCGUGCGCAGGCGGCGCGUUAAGACAGGUGUGAAAGCCCUGAGCUUAACUUGGGAAUUGCGCUUGUGACUGGCGUGCUGGAGUGUGGCAGAGGGAGGUGGAAUUCCACGUGUAGCAGUGAAAUGCGUAGAGAUGUGGAGGAACACCGAUGGCGAAGGCAGCCUCCUGGGCCAGCACUGACGCUGAGGAGCGAAAGUGUGGGGAGCGAACAGG
rnacentral:rRNA from 1 species